GGUAUGAUAAUAACUCAUUUUGAUUCAUGCUCACACUGUAGGUGUUGUUCUUGGAGCUUCAUUUACCUCCUCAUGGUGAUGCAGGUGGACCAAGGAGUAAGAAGACUCUGAGUUACACCAGGAGAGGUGGAGGCAGAGCACGCCUUGGGAAGCACUUCAGCACCACCAAGGAUGUUCUGGAGAAACUCCGCCCCCUGCACCCUUUGCCAGGUGUGAUUCUAGAGUGGAGGCAGAUCACUAACGCCCUGACUAAGGUGGUCUUCCCCUGCAGAGGGUGAAACGGCAUCAUCCUACACUGAAGAUGGACAGAAUAUAUCCAGUCACCCAGACCCACACAACCACCGGUAGAGUGAGCUUUACUGAACCAAACAUACAGAAUGUCCCCAAAGAUUUUGAGGUUUACAUGCCCACAGUGAUAAGUGAAAGCCCACCUUCACAAAAUGCCUUCCAGGUGACUCGUAAAUCAAGGUAGGUACCUGUCAGUACAAAUAUUUCUGCUUUUAAAGACUUUUUUGUUUUUUUACUUUUUAUUUUUCAUUUUUAAAA